GAUGAACGCUGGCGGCGUGCCUAAUACAUGCAAGUCGAGCGAACAGACGAGGAGCUUGCUCCUCUGACGUUAGCGGCGGACGGGUGAGUAACACGUGGAUAACCUACCUAUAAGACUGGGAUAACUUCGGGAAACCGGAGCUAAUACCGGAUAACAUGUUGAACCGCAUGGUUCAACAGUGAAAGACGGUCUUGCUGUCACUUAUAGAUGGAUCCGCGCCGCAUUAGCUAGUUGGUAAGGUAACGGCUUACCAAGGCAACGAUGCGUAGCCGACCUGAGAGGGUGAUCGGCCACACUGGAACUGAGACACGGUCCAGACUCCUACGGGAGGCAGCAGUAGGGAAUCUUCCGCAAUGGGCGAAAGCCUGACGGAGCAACGCCGCGUGAGUGAAGAAGGUCUUCGGAUCGUAAAACUCUGUUAUUAGGGAAGAACAAAUGUGUAAGUAACUAUGUACGUCUUGACGGUACCUAAUCAGAAAGCCACGGCUAACUACGUG
rnacentral:rRNA from 1 species